GGGGGAUAUUGCACAAUGGAGGAAACUCUGAUGCAGCGACGCCGCGUGAGGGAAGAAGGUUUUCGGAUUGUAAACCUCUGUCUUCGGGGAAGAUAAUGACGGUACCCGAGGAGGAAGCCACGGCUAACUACGUGCCAGCAGCCGCGGUAAUACGUAGGUGGCAAGCGUUGUCCGGAAUUACUGGGUGUAAAGGGAGCGUAGGCGGGCUCGCAAGUUGAAUGUUAAAUCUAUCGGCUCAACCGGUAGCCGCGUUCAAAACUGCGGGUCUUGAGUGAAGUAGAGGCAGGCGGAAUUCCUAGUGUAGCGGUGAAAUGCGUAGAUAUUAGGAGGAACACCAGUGGCGAAGGCGGCCUGCUGGGCUUUUACUGACGCUGAUGCUCGAAAGCAUGGGGAGCAAAC
rnacentral:rRNA from 1 species